rnacentral:pre_miRNA from 15 species
CGCCUCCUGCCGCAGUGCCUGACGGGAGGCGGAGCGCAAACGAGGGCGUCGGCCAUUUUGUGUCUGCUUCCUGUGGGACGCGUUGGUGACCGU